AACAUACUCCCUCCGUCAUCAAAUACUUGUCCUAAAGAUGAAUAUAUCUAGAUUUAUUUUAGUUAUAGAUACAUUCAUUAUAUCCACUUCUACUACAAGUAUUUUCAGACGGAGGGAGUAUUAC
rnacentral:pre_miRNA from 1 species